GAAGCAGCGCUGAAAGCAUGCAGGGAAAAGGAAAAAAGAAAUUUUCCCUAACCCUUACGGUAAUUUAAAUCACCGUAUCUCCUUCAUCCGAACUCCAAUCGCCGCAUCAUUUGUGGCCACGCGACUACCGCGUCGAACUCUACAUUUCUACCGGAACAAUUUCAUAGGAUCCAAUUAGCUUGAGGAAAACGUUCACUCUCACUUAUACGAAGCUUGGGUAAGGUGAGGAUACUAUAAUUCUAUCUAAAUAUUCUGAAUUUGUGCUUGGGGAAUUAAAUUGGGUGUAUAUGUGUUAUGAAUGUGUAUUAGGUUGUGAAUAAAUAAUUAGAAUUUGAAAUUGUGGAUAUUGGAACUUGGAGGAAGCUGUUUUAUUGAACUUUUGGGGGGUGUGUUUAUUUUGGUGAGUUGCCUUAGACAAUACGUGGAAAUCGACUAAAGUAUGGUUUAGGUUUCUUACAUUUAAUAUAUAAUAUUCUGUAAAAAUUUAGGCUAGAUGACCUUAGGAUAAGUUGGAACGCAUGGAAGUGUACCAUACUUAGUGUCUUUAACAUUUAUGAUAUAAGUUGGUUAUGUAAUGGUAAUUGUUGAUGUAUGGACAAUAGGGUGAUAAAUGUUUGAGUUGAUGCUGAUAUGAUUAUAUAUAUAUUGAUUAAGUGUAUAUGAAAUUGUUGAGGUGUGAAAUUGUGCCAUGUUGUUGUAUGUUGGAUGAUGAAAUGGUGUAGGAUCUUGUGGCUGGGAAUAUUGUAUGUGUUAGGAUUGAUUUUCAGGUGUGAAAUGGCUGAUAUGUGAAUGGAAAGAAUAAUGAAAUGGAGGUUUAAUGAGUUUUGUAAAAAGUUGGUUUUGGGCCGAACUUCGGCGAGCUAUAACUUGGCUUUCAGACUCUCAAUUUGCUUCCAAUUUAUUUUAAAUGAAAAUUGGGUUCGUGAAGUUUAUGCCGUUCGAAGAACGGAUGAGAAACGAUUUAAAAUGAUUAAGUUAUGCACAUCGGAAGUUUGGUUGAAAUUAUGGAAAUUAUGUAAAUUCUACAGCUUUCUACUUAAUCAGAUUUUUGGAAGAACGUACGUCCACGCAUACACGUGGCAUGAAAUUUUUGACUGACCUCCUUGUAUGUGUAUGCGUAAUGAGCCAACAUGCAUGUCCACGCAUACGCAUGAUAAGGGGAUGCACGCGCGAGCUGCCUUUUUACACUCCCACGCGUAUGCGUGAGCCAAGCGUACGCGUGGUCCCUAUUUCAGCAAACAUGGUUUUUUGAGUUUUAAAUUCUAUUUCAAACUUCUAAACCUCUAUUUUCAUUCCUUUAGUCAUAAAUAAUAGUAUUAAACCUGAUAAUCAGAUUAAGUUAGUAAAACUGAAAAAGUGAUGAAUUGAAUAUGAAAUGCUAUGAAUGAUUAUGUAUGUUAUUUGGCUUAAAUAAUCAAAUGAUCUGAGAUACGAGAUCCCUUGGGUAAAGUACCGUGGCUUGCCACUACGUGUACUAGGUCGAAAACUCGAUACUCUGUUGAUCCUACGACAUAAGGGUGACCGGGCAUUUAAAAAUUUCCGCGAAUGUUACCCCCAUUGAGCAAUAUUGAUUAUUUGAGAAAAAGUUAUGCAUAGGCUCUUGGGGAUGCACGUCGAGGGAUUGUCCAAGGGUUUAGCAAACCAGACUUAUCGGGUUGGCUUGAUAACCGACAGAUGAGACUCAUCAGCCUUAGGAUAGGCAUGCAUCAUGUGCAUAUUACUUGAAUUACUUGUUUAUGCAUUAACUGGGUGUGCCUAAGUGUAUUUGCUAUUUUAGAUGUAUAUUUGCUACCUGCAGUACUUGUAACCUUCUUGUGCUUGCCUUAUCUGCUUAUUUGUCUAUGAUAUGUUGUCGGAGAUGGAGGUAUGGAGGAAAGGCGGUAAGACUUAGAUUCAGGAUUAAGUUAAGUUAGGCUCAGAUACAUUUAGAACACUACAGCAGAGGCGGAGUCUAGCGGCGGAGAAACAGCGGCCCAUUCCAACAACGCCGCUAGUUGGAAGAUCCCAGCAGAGGUCAGCGGCGGUCAUGGCAGGUACCGCUAAACACCCCCUGGAUAGCGGCCGUGCAGUCCGAACCGCUGCGAAAGUGGUCUGUUUAUCUUGAACCCUCCAGAUUUUACGAGGCCUUCUUGGCGCGAACGAAAGCACAGGCAGAGGCGCGAAGAGCACCCAACCUAAAUCUGCCGCAACCUACCCGCGAGUACACCUAUAAAUGCCGCCAGAAACCCAGCACUUGAUUUUGCUAGCGCACCGAACACGAGCGGGAGCAGAGCCGCGUUCCAUCCGCUCCACCCGGCGCUUCCGUCUUGGUUGUCGAAUCGCGCAGCGGCCAACCGUGGUUCUAUCUCCGGCGACGAAGUUGAACAUCUCAUCGGUACUGUGUGAAACCGCGACACCGUCUUCCACCGUGCGCGAAUCCUAGCUAUUGCUGCCUCCCCCUUUCACUGGUGGUUUGCAAAAAGAUUUCUACAUCCAGAUAUUGUAUCUACUUAUGAUUAUAUCUUUCUCUGGGAUGAGGAUUUAGGGGUGGAGCAUUUUUCUCCAUCAAGGAAAGACUUCUGGAGAUUGAGCAAGAAGAUGAGUCUUCUAGAGUCUUGUCUCAAAAUGAUUCCCUUGCUCAGGUUUUUGGAAGAGAGAAACCGGGUAGAGUGCGUGGAGUGGGUCUUGGACCGACUCCUAGUCAACUCUUUGGUACAACUUUGCGGCCAUCAGUAAACCGAGUCCUAGAAGAGGAGACGCAAAGGAAGCUGAAUGAACUACAGACAGAACUGGAAGCUGAGAAGUUGAAAAGGAAGGCGAUGGAAGAUGAAGCAGCAGCAGACAAGAAAAGGAUAAAGGUAAUGGAGAGUGCUUUGAUUUAUCUUUUUCAACGGCAGGGUGAGGAGCUGCCACCAGAGAUUGCUGCAGGGAUGUGUUAAGUGGUUUUGAUGCAGUAGAAAAUAGUAGUUUAGGAUUGAAAUUGUUUUGGAUGGAUGCAUACUUUUUUUGAAGUAGACUACGCAACUCUUAGCAAGAGAUUUAUUUUUUUGAUAUUUUGAUAAAUACAUUUUGGUUUUUGGAUAUUUUUCUGGUUUUGUCA